AUUUAUAUAAAGGUGACAUUCAAGAAAACGGCUAAAGAGGACCUUAAUUGGUCCUAGAACGGCCUGACGUAGAGGGGUUUUAGCCAGUAGGUCCGAGGACUUCUUCCUCGGAAAUCCGACACUACCCAGUCGUACGGACGGCUGGGUGUCUUUUGAAGAUUUCCCCUCUUC
rfam:Agrilus planipennis Contig65737, whole genome shotgun sequence.